CUCCCACUAUGAUAUGAAUGAACAAUCAUAAACUGAUGCUUACGUUUCCCAGGUUCCUUUGAAUAAUAUGUUUGGCUACUCAACAUCCCUUCGGUCAAUGACCCAGGGAAAAGGUGAAUUCACAAUGGAAUACUUGGAGCAUGCUGCAGUUUCGCAAGAUGUACAGACACAAUUAGUCAACACGUACAAAGCAAGCAAGGGUUCGGAAUAGAACCCUUUUUCUGAAUGCCUUGUGAGCCAAUCAUCGCCUCGGCAUCUGGCCGCAAUCCCAGACGAGUUUUGUAUUUAUUUAUUUGUUUUUAAUGAGUGUGGAAGUAACAUAUUAUAAUUAAUUAUUUUUCGGUAAGGUGUAUCAACUCAUAUACCCAUAGCUAGAGCCAUUUCAUGAUCCGGUUAUCCAACACUAGUUUAGCAAAUAAAAGCUUCAUGACGCUGUCACAAUACAACAGAAUUUGUACUGUAUGGAUGGAUAUAAAUGUUUUAUCAUACGGAUGUAUGCAAUUGUUUUUAUUUAAUAUUUAUUAUUUAUUUA